GACGAACGCUGGCGGCGUGCUUAACACAUGCAAGUCGAACGAAGAGCGAUGGAAGCUUGCUUCUAUCAAUCUUAGUGGCGAACGGGUGAGUAACGCGUAAUCAACCUGCCCUUCAGAGGGGGACAACAGUUGGAAACGACUGCUAAUGCCGCAUACGAUCUGACCUCGGCAUCGAGGAUAGAUGAAAGGUGGCCUCUAUUUAUAAGCUAUCACUGAAGGAGGGGAUUGCGUCUGAUUAGCUAGUUGGAGGGGUAACGGCCCACCAAGGCGAUGAUCAGUAGCCGGUCUGAGAGGAUGAACGGCCACAUUGGGACUGAGACACGGCCCAGACUCCUACGGGAGGCAGCAGUGGAGAAUCUUCCGCAAUGGACGAAAGUCUGACGGAGCAACGCCGCGUGAGUGAUGACGGCCUUCAGGUUGUAAAGCUCUGUUAAUCGGGACGAAAGGCCUUCUUGCGAAUAGUUAGAAGGAUUGACGGUACCGGAAGAGAAAGCCACGGCUAACUACGUG
rnacentral:rRNA from 1 species